rnacentral:rRNA from 1 species
UGGGGAAUAUUGGACAAUGGGCGAAAGCCUGAUCCAGCAACGCCGCGUGAGGGAUGACGGCCUUCGGGUUGUAAACCUCUUUCAGUAGGGACGAAUGUGACGGUACCUACAGAAGAAGCACCGGCCAACUACGUGCCAGCAGCCGCGGUAAUACGUAGGGUGCGAGCGUUGUCCGGAAUUAUUGGGCGUAAAGGGCUCGUAGGCGGUUUGUCGCGUCAUGAGUGAAAUCCGGGUGCUUAACGCCUGGCUUGCUUGUGAUACGGGCAGACUGGAGGUAUGUAGGGGAGAACGGAAUUCCUGGUGUAGCGGUGAAAUGCGCAGAUAUCAGGAGGAACACCGGUGGCGAAGGCGGUUCUCUGGGCAUUACCUGACGCUGAGGAGCGAAAGUGUGGGGAGCGAACAGG